UCACGGUCACCAAAACUCCCGCAGGCCUUUCCUCGGGGAGACCGGGGGCCUGUUACCAGCAGUCACCGCCCUGCCUUGACUGCCUGGGUGAAUCAGGUGCUAAUCAGAGCCUUGGUCUUGGCAGCUCCCCUGUCUGGGUUUUCUGAGUGCGCCGGAUUUAGGCCGGGUGGGGGGAUUCCUACGGCCCUGCCCCACCCACGAAGACCGAGAAGGCUCACCCGGUGGCGAAAGGUGGGCUCGGUGACUCAUCUCUGGGAUGACCUCACCUCCCGACCCCAGCGGAGCAGAUGUCCGGAUCUCAGACCUCAUACCGUGACUUUGGACGGCUAGUGCGUUCCCUUCUUCACAUUAUAAACUGGCUCGAGUAGGUGCAUGAGUGUGUUGAUUCAAGUGCUUCUGGAAAGCCCCUUCCCUUGCUAAGCACCAUGGUAAUGUCCGCAUCGUGUUUCUGCCUGGAGUGGAAUACUCUCUAACACAAUUGUCAAUGCCUGCACGUCGUGGAAGCUUGAUAAUUGUUAAAUGGACAGAUGCAUCACUCUGGUAUGGCUGAGCUCACCCUGAUGACCUCAUUUCAUCUGCUCCUCCUUCUUCCCGGAGUCACAGCCACACAGACUUUCUGUGUUUCCUUGAACCUGCCACCCUUGGUCUCAUGAUCACUUGACCUUGUCUUUGAGCCUUUGCAUGGGCUGUGCUCUCUAACCAGCUGUCUCACUCCAUCACCGGCUCUUCUCUUCGAGGUCUCAACUCAAAUACCGCCUCUUUAAAGAGGUUUUCCUAACUACCAAAAGGAGAUCCUCCAGUCACUCUCAUAUUACCCUGUGCAGUUUUCUCAAUAGCACUUAACGUGAUUAGACACUCUCAUAUUUGUUUGCUUAUUUUUCUAUAUCUCACUAGAACACCCUCCAUAGGAAAAGGGCCUGUCUUUUAAGGGUCUGUUUUAUUCAUAUAGCCAGGAACAGUGCCUGGCACAAAACAGGUGCUCAGUAAAUAUUUGUUGAAUAAAUUAACAAAUUGCAGAGGGCCGAGAAAACAGUCGUGUGAGUCUAAGGAAUGCUGACAUUUUGAAAAGAACUUGCAGACUCCAUCUUAGUCAUUUCCCUCCUUGUUGAUGUCUUCUGGGCCACAACAGUUACCAGAGCCCCAUGUGUAGGAAAUGCCCCCUCAGCGUACUCCCAACUUGUCCCUCGUGGGUAGGGGACAGCACCCAGACCAGACAGCACCCUCCCUGCCCCUUGCUUCUUUCCUUCCCUCCUGCCUUGACAUCCCCUUUUCCCUCUGACCUCCCAAUCACCUGGGCAGCUCCUCCUCUGCUCUGCACCUUUCUUACUUGUGUAGACAGCACAGCAUGGUUACUGGACUGCCUGGAGAAAUCCCAAGACCAACCUCUGAUCCUAAAUCUCAGGGUGAUAUUGGGCAAGAUGAUCAACUUUUCUGAACUGCUUUUUUUUUUUUUUUUUUAAAUUUUUCUCCUGAAAAUUUGCAAAGAUCCUACCCAGAAAUCAAUGAAUGACUUUCAUUUUCCUUCUCUACUGUGCUAUUGUUGCUUCUAGUAGUCAGAUGAACUUGUGAAGUCACAAACAAUUCAUAAGUUAGUAUUUUGCCCAUAACUGACAGACCACACCCAAUUUUCCUUCUGCCGUUCACUUGGAACAUUUUCUUUCUCUUAUUCAUUUCUCAUAAAUUUAUUUUUCUAGCUCAGCUCAGCUGCUUAACAAUCUCUCUUAAGCUCAAAACCAGCUCUGGCUGCCUCCUAACAGUCAGAAGUGGCACUCUGGCCUACAUUCAUUAUGGCCCCACAAGACUCACAUGCCCAGAGUGCAUUUCAAAUUCUGCUUUUUGGUCAAAUGAGAAAAGGUGAAAGCAUUAGCAUCAGAAGUCAGAAGAGUCAGACAGUGUGUGUGAGUGUGUGUGUGUGUGUGUGUGUGUUGGGGAAGGUUUUCCAUAAGACAGUCUCCCUGUACUGCAUCCACCUUCUCCUUUAACCUGACCCCACCCAGUAAUUGCCAUUGUCUUGCAAUUCAAGCUAAAGAAAAGGAAAAGAGAAAGUUUGAUCCAUUUUGACAGGUUCUGUUUCUCUCUUUUCAUUUUCAUAGACCACUUGAGAGAUUUUCAGGUUCAACUCUUAUGCUGAGCUGGUGCCAUGCAAUUUCCAGGCUCCUUCCUGCCCUCUUCCUUCAUUCCUUAUAGCCCCUGAUAAUGGAAAGAAGGGAGAGACAAAGACUCCUAGAAGAAGCUGGCUUUUGUCACGUUUAAGGUAGAAUUUGUUCAUUUGUAUUCUCUCUUAUUAAUAAAAUUGUUAAGGCAUCAUAAGCCUAGUGGAAUUUCAUGCCACAUAAGAUUUUUACUUUUACUUGUCUUCCUGCUAUUUCCCUGUCUCUUAGCACAACCAGCAUCACAGGUUUUGGCAGCAGCUCCCAAACAGGUUUCAUGUGUGCAUAAUGUGGAACAGCUACUGGUCAUGUGGGCCAGCCAGAGCCAUGCACAUGUGGUUCAGGGUAACCAGUCGAUGGUGUGUUUAGUGAGCAAUCACUUUGAACUUUAAGGUGGGGUUGGGCGAAAGACCACAAGCAGAAGUUCAGCCAUUAGAGCCGGCCGAGCCCUUUGGGGUGUUACUGACAGUUCAGAGAAUUGAGAUAAACCUUGGCGCAAGCGGGAAGUAGUUAAGUAAUGUUCCUUGGCUUUUUGAAGAUGCUGUGGUCCAGAGUGUCUCAGCCUCGGCACUGCUGACAUUUGGGUCUACAUCUUUUUUCCCUUGUGGGGUUGGCCUAUGUUUAGCAGUGUCCCUGGCCUCUACUCCUGUGUGCCGGCGGCCCCCUCCCUCAGAUGAUUGUCGGAAGAGUCUCCAGCCCCAGAGAGGAGGUGCGCCUCCUGCCUCUACCCUCUGUGCGGUGGGGUUACAGGGAUAUCUUUUAGGGAUGAAAUGUCUUUAUCAGCGCCUCUUUCCAUCUGUUUCUCCCACUGAUACCACUUAAAUACACACUAAUAGAUAAUGUCAGCCCUCCGCAGAGGCCUCAGGCCACACUCUCAGAGCAAAUUAGGAACAAGAAGUUAAAAUGAAGAGCCAAUUAGCCAAAACAUGACUGAAAGUUUUUUAUUUAAAAGCUAGAACCUAAUGAAUUGUGGACAGAAGUAAAAGGAAGUGGAGUCUAUAACUACUGAAGCAAAAACACAAAGCAUUUUCUCUGCUUCUCCAACUGUCUAGAAAGAGAGUGGGCAUCCAGUUGACUGCUUGACCAUGAGGAUGGGCCCUUCAAUGACCUCAGCCUUUAAAAGGCCACUGAUUUCCAGCCCUCCACACACUCUCCUGAAUAUGAACUUGGUUUCCUCCUUCCACUUAAGAAGUUUGGAGACCUCAGAUCUCAGAGCACUGACGUCUGGAGAGGGUGGUGUCAGGGGAAGACAGCGAGAGGUAAGCAGGGCAGAGAGAUGUGAUAGAGAGUCUGGGAGAGGUAAAUGGAGAGACCCUGGCAUGCAUAUAGUUGGGAGUCUGUUGACAUAUGGAGUCUUCAACAGAGUUGGCAGAGGACAGUCAGCUGUGGAGGAAUGGAGCUGUUCGGCAAAUUAUAGAGCAGAGCAUCAGGCAAGGGGGAGUAAGACAGAGCCCAGGUUCUUAACACUGGAGGAAGGUGACAGUGCUGCCAGCCUAUAGUCAUAGCAUGUAUGCCUGUGUGCACACAUCUAGUUUCCAAAAUUGCAGGCUUCCUGAGAGCAGGGACAAGUUGUCCUCAAUCUUAGUAUCCAGAACCUGAAAUAAUCCCUGCUGUGUGGGGAAGCUUUUAGAUGUUUGUUGACUAAAGAGAGAAAAUACGACUGGGAGGUUGUUGCAUUUAUCCAGCUGUGAGGUUCACAAAUAAUUCAUCCCUUUACUUGUCAGCUACUCUGUCAAUGCUGUAUCUGCCUGGUGGGCCUUUUCUACAGCAGCGCAGUUUCCAAGUGGGAUGGCUGUGAUCUAGGAGAGACUGAAGUCCUUUUGAAAUCGAUGCAGUGUCUACUGGAGAGGAAGAGACAGAAGGAGGGAGGCAAAGGAGGGAGAUGAAGGGAGAGGGAGGCAUUUCCCGCAGUGUCUUAAGAGUUGCUGUGGUCUUCCUCCUGAUUUGCAGCCAUAGCUGUGGUUGGCAGAGCCCAGUCCAGUCUGCACUUCUGCCCUUGGUGUCCUUUGUCCUCUGAGCCUUGUUAGGAAGCCUUCCUGGUUUGUGAACAUCAUCUUGCCGGUUCGCUGUGGUUCUUUCUUUUCUUUUUUGUCUGGGAUGGUUUGCAUUUCCUUCUAUCUGGGUGGUCUACUUGAGACAACAAAGAGGUCCUUUUAAACUUUCCAUGGUGAAAAAAAAAAAAGUCUUCACAGUUGAUGAUCCUAGCCCAAAGUAUCUGACAAAAUCUGAACAGCUAGUGUCUUUUUAGAUUUAGUCGAAUAAUUGUCUUUUUCACCUAUGUUUGACAGCUUGGGCCUUGCUUUUCCCUCUAACUCAUCCGGGCACACAGAGGGUUGCACUCUCUGUAGUUCUAUUUUCAUGGUCUCCAAAUCCUCAUAAAAUCUAUUCAAAGUGACCACAUGACUGCAAUCCAGUGGAAGGGGAUAGUCCCUAAGUAUCCCUAGUCAGAGGAUUCUGUCUGUCUGCAUUUACCACACCUACGUAUCCAGCUGCCCUCUUGGAGGCACACUUCUGCUUCUUCAAAUGCCUUUGGGGGUUGGGGCAGCCCAAAGUGACAGAAGAUGGAAAGGGCUGCUCCCCUUCAGAGAAACUGACCCCCAUCUGCUAAAUGUUACUCUACAGUUCUUUCCUGCUGAAGAGCUCAGGUUGGUCAGUUUUGUUUGUUUGUUUUCUUCCCCUUUUACGUGAAACAGAAAUUGAACGGAUCUGAAGACAUUAAAAGGUGUCUGGGUAGGGGGCUGGAGGGAGAAGGGAGUUUCCUCAGAGGAUGGAAUGUCCCAAGAGAAAUUUCACUUAUUGUGAGGGGGAAGUCCAUUUCAUAUUACAUAAUGGUGUCACUGUUCAACACUCUGUUGACAGUUUAUUAAUAUUUGUCACUAUUUUGAUUAGUCAUUCAUCUUUAAAGCCCUGUGCAUUACGGAAAGACCAUUAUACAUAAAGCGCUCCUCGGGCUAGAUGACAGACCAGGAUUAUUUUCUUUCCUAUUCACAACAAGGCACGUGUGUCUUCUCACUGACCACCUCUUGGUCUGCAGGAGACUGCCUGCCUCCACCCAGACAAGACAGUUCCAGUCAGCGUGGCAUGUUGCUGCUCGAAGCCCACACCUCCCAGUGCUGCCACCUGCAGCCUUCAGCAGCCCCGUCAUACCUGCGAGCCCUUUCUGGGCAGGGCUCCCACUCCAGAUUGCAGACACAGCCACUCGCAUGGGAGUAGCCGCCGCAGGGAGGAUAGGGCUGCUGCAGACAGACGUGCUUGGUUAACAGGAAGUGAGGCUGUGUUUCUCUCACAUCCAGUAACCCCUGAACGAGGGCAGGCGGCCUGUGGCCAUGCACACCCUGGUUCACCAACACACAACUUGCACACUGUGCAGGCUGGAGCAGCUCUCCAUCUAAAAACACUUGUACUUGACUUUAUGCUGACGUCCGUUUCUCUCCCAUUCUGCUCCAAAGUACAAGGGAGUGCUUAUUUUACCACUCUUGUAAUUAAAGCAUCCAUGAUGGUGCUUUAACCCUACCAAGGGCACAGUUUUGAAGGGGAUAUAAGAUCUCUGUCUCUAAACAGAGAAAACUUUGUGACUUUUGAAUGGCAGUCCCCCUCCCACUGGUCACAGUUCUGCAGGGCAGCCCAAGGACAAAUGCGCUGUCUGUUAGAGACACAGGUAACUGACCCGUAAGACAGUGCAAUCUGUGGACAUCUUCCCUCAAUGCAGUACUUUCAGAAACAUGUACGGUUUUUGAAGAGUAGGAUUUACAACAUUGUGUGGUUUCAGGUAUACAGCAAAGUGAUUCAGUUGCAUAUAUAUGUAUACACAAAAUUUCAGAUUCUUUUUCAUUACAGGCUAUUACAAGCUAUUGAAUAUAAUAAAAACGUACAAUAUAAGGUGAACUUUUGCUUUUAAAAUCUCACUAUUUUCAUUGCAGUCAUAACAACCAAGCCAAUGGGGCAGGAAGCUCUCUGCUUUGUGGUUAUUUUAUUCAAGCCAUGUAUGAAGUUUCUUUCUGUUAUAAAGCCCAGUUACUGCUCUGCAGGGAACAUGGUCUUACAUGUCUUCUACAGCCCUGUUUCCAAGCACUGAGGUGGCAUUUUUAUUCAUUUGACCAACAUUUGUUGAAAACCUACUACGUUCUACAUAUUGUGCCAGAAGCUGAGGAUACAGAAAAAUAAAAACAAAACUGCUCCCAUCCUUAAUUCACAUUCAUUCAUAAGUCUUUUGGAAAUAGGGACUUAAUACAUAAAUGAUUUCCAUAUAACGUGAUGUACUCUGAGCUUGUAAAGCUUGCUUUUAGGAGAUUAGAGGAGGUGCUCAGAACUGCCUCAGCUGACUCUUCUUUUCUGUGAAAGUAGGUGUCCUUCCAUUUCCCCAUUUCUUGUGUGGGAGUUCUCGUCAAACACAUGCACUCGUGUGUGAGUUCUCUUCAAAUGUAUACAGUCGUGUGCGAGUUCUCGUCAGACACGUACACUCAUGUGAGAGCUGUCUUCAAACACAUGCACUCAUGUGCGAGUUCUCUUCAAACACAUACACUCGUGUGCGAGUUCUCGUCAGACAGAUACACUCGUGUGCGAGUUCUCGUCAGACACAUACACCCGUGAGUGAGCUCUCGUCAUACACAUACACUCAUGGGAGAACUGUCUUCAAAUGUAUAUACUCAUGUGCAAGUUCUCUUCAAACACAUACACCCGUGUGCGAGUUCUCAUACACAUACACUCGUGUGAGAGCUGUCUUCAAACACAUGCACUCAUGUGCGAGUUCUCUUCAAACACAUACAUUCACGUGCAGGUUCUCGUCAGACACAUACACUCCUGUGCGAG